GGCAACUUGGCCGAGCGGUCUAAGGCGCCACGUUAAGGAGAUAUCCUUAAUCACAUCUAUCUUGAUCUAUCUGAUCUUGAUAAAUAGUUCCGUGGUCCGAAAGGGCGUGAGUUCGAAUCUCACAGUUGUCA